AUAGCUCAAGUGGUAGAGCACAUGCUUAUCACGCAUGAGGUCCUGGGUUCAAUCCCCAAU
rnacentral:tRNA from 1 species